rnacentral:rRNA from 1 species
AACGAACGCUGGCGGCAUGCCUAACACAUGCAAGUCGAACGAGACCUUCGGGUCUAGUGGCGCACGGGUGCGUAACGCGUGGGAACCUGCCCUUAGGUUCGGAAUAACUCCCCGAAAGGGGUGCUAAUACCGGAUAAUGUCGUCGGACCAAAGAUUUAUCGCCUUUGGAUGGGCCCGCGUUGGAUUAGCUAGUUGGUAGGGUAAAAGCCUACCAAGGCUACGAUCCAUAGCUGGUCUGAGAGGAUGAUCAGCCACACUGGGACUGAGACACGGCCCAGACUCCUACGGGAGGAAGCAGUGGGGAAUAUUGGACAAUGGGCGAAAGCCUGAUCCAGCAAUGGCGCGUGAGUGAUGAAGGCCUUAGGGUUGUAAAGCUCUUUUACCCGGGAUGAUAAUGACAGUACCGGGAGAAUAAGCUCCGGCUAACUCCGUG